rnacentral:tRNA from 1 species
GCCGGUGUGGCUCAGUGGAUAGAGCGUCAGACUGCAGAUCGAAGGGCACCCGGUUCCAUUCGGUCAAGGGCA